CUCCUGAGUAGCUGGUACUGUAGCACACUCCACCACAACUGGCUAAUAUAUAUAUAUAUAUAUUUUGUAGAGAUGGGGUUUUGCCUUGUUGCUUAGGCUAGUCUCAAACUCCUGGGCUCAAGCGAUACACCCUACUUGGCCUUCCAAAUUGCUGGAAUUACAGCCAUGAGCUACUGCACCCUGCCUUAAGCAUUUCUUUCAAGGCAGACAUAGACACUUUCGGGUCAUUUAUGUGGAGCUUAUGUGGAAAUUGAAGCCCUGAGUUGAGAAUUUGAAGCCCUGAGAUCAUCCUUUUCUAUCCCCACUUUCUCCAGAGCAGUUAGGAGCAGCCAGCCAGUCAUUAUAUUCAUUAUUUUUACUAACAUGUCCUAAGGUAUCAAAUAUGUGGCACUCAGACCUUGCCCUUUAUAAAUAUUUAAUUAUGAGAUUCCAAUGGCAGUAUCUUGCAUAUUUCUAUUGCCACAUUAUGCCAUGACCAAUGAUUUCAUUAUCACUGGAAAUAAAGUCAUUAGUGCCUUUAAAUCUAAUCAGAUAAGAGAACCAAUUUCAGACAGACCAGAACUAAUUUAGAAAACUCAUCCUUAAGAUUCUGUUCCUUUAGAACCACUCUACAUACUAAAAUCUGUGUUAUUGAGGUUUCUUCAGAGAAACAGAACCAAUACGAAACACACACACACACACACACACACACACACACACACACACACGGAUUGGCUUACUGUUUGUAUGGGCUGACAAGUCCAAAAUCUAUAGGGCAACCAUGGAGGCUGGAAACUCUUCGGCAAAAACACGAUGCUGUAGUUCCUAGUUGUAUUGCUCCUUUCUACUGUCAUAACACAAUAUUUUCUGUGCUGUUGAGGGCAACAUAUGCCCUACUUUUUAAAAGUCCCCACUAUUAUCACCUUAAAGUUCCCUUAAUGUGAUGUCAAACCAUCAGAGGACAAAUCAUUCUAAUUGUGCUUUUAAUUUUUUAUGUUUUACAAAGUUUUAACAUCGGGUCCUCACUGAUCAGGGAGAGAUUGCUUCUCCCUCUUGGGGUUAACUAAUUCCUAGAGAUAGUAAAUGACUUUCCUGUGAGCAUGCCAUGCAGACCAAGCAAUCCUGAGUCCAUACUCUCACCCAUCUUCUCUAUCCAGCUCUUACACUCCAAGACACAAUAUUCCUGUCCUAAUCAUCCCAGGGCAGCUAGGGUCAGUUCCUACACCCCAGAGCCUGCUGAGAUAAUUCAAACUAGCCAGUCCUAAACUUACUCAGCUUACCUACUUGGUCUUGCCCGUUCCUUCCCACAGAAACUGCAACAAAGGCUUUUGCUCCUGCUUCUCCUAUGCCCCUCUUCUGGCUCCUGACCAACAUGGGUGCUUCCCAUGUGGCCUGCAUCAUGUGGGGAAUCUUGUUUGUAGGGAAUGGUGAGUAAAAAGCUCUUCCUUCAUGACAAGAAUUUCUGUGUCUGUGUGUCCUACCAUACCUGAUUAAAACCAAUCUCAGGCACAUUUUAUUGCAAGUAGUUUUUAAGAACAAAUGGGUUAAGUUUUCUACAUGUAAGUUCAAGCCUUUGUGAAGAGGGAAAAUUUUACUUUUUCCUUUCCAAUAUUCUGAUUUGUUUUCUCUUUUCUUUGUCAUGUUGCACUUACUAAGUCCUCCACCUAAUGUAGAGUACAAGUGAUGAGAGCUUACCUUGUUCUUAAAACUGUUGGGAAAUUUU
rnacentral:lncRNA from 1 species